rnacentral:ncRNA from 1 species
GUGUCAUAUGAAGGAGCAGAAGGUUAACACUUCCCCUUGGCAAAAGUGGAAGAUGCUCUUGGGCCUGACAACAAGCAUACGGUUAAGACACUGUCACCUAUUUUGUGGCAUCUAACCAUUGUUGAGA